rnacentral:lncRNA from 1 species
CUGGAAACAAGGCCAGUGAAAGUAAACCAUCCUGUCUCUCUAUUCAACCCUAGAGGAGUAAGUGUUCACGUUCUUGUUUUCCUGGCAGCAGGCCUCCGCGAUUUCCGGAACAAACGCCCUGAAUCUCGUGCCCAAGCAAGACUGCCUGGACCUUCCAGGCAGACAGAGAAGGAUCAGGCUUCGCAGCCUCUGUUCUGACAAAGGCAGGACUUUGGUAAAUGUUCAGACUCCGAAGUCUGGAUUAGAGCUGUUCCCCGUGGCGCAUAUUCUUGCCCAGAAGCAGCAGUUUGCAAAAAAUCAGGAGGUGUCAGCGGGCAAGGAUGAAGGCAAAUGGACGAGGUGGAGAGAGAGUACAAUCCCGGGUAGCAGAAUUGUAAACGAAUGCAGGCCUGAGAAAUAGCCUGCUGACCUUUGCUAAAGUGUAUAGCAACAGCAGGAAUAAAGCAAAGGGAGACAGCGGAGAGACGGCGCCU